AGCCAGACUGGCUUGUCUGUAAUCAAUCUAGGUUUCGUGCCUGGAUGCACUUGCAGACUAUUUGCCUGCCAACGACAAUUUUUUUUGAGUGUAAAAACUAUUGGAAAUGUGGCCAAUAUUUAUUUAUUGGUGUUAUAGUCCUUUAGAAAAUACCUUGAAUUGGAUUGAGGAACGCAGCGAAUGCUUCUCUUUNGAGGCAAAGUCUUUUAUUGGGAUUUACGGAUCAGACUGUGGCAUUGUCACA
rnacentral:rRNA from 1 species